rnacentral:rRNA from 1 species
AGAGUGAACGCUGGCGGCAGGCCUAACACAUGCAAGUCGAACGGCAGCACAGCCCCGCAAGGGGUGGGUGGCGAGUGGCGGACGGGUGAGGAAUACAUCGGAAUCUACCUUGUCGUGGGGGAUAACGUAGGGAAACUUACGCUAAUACCGCAUACGAACUAUGGUUGAAAGCGGCGGACCGCAAGGCGUCGCGCGAUUGGAUGAGCCGAUGUCCGAUUAGCUAGUUGGCGGGGUAAAGGCCCACCAAGGCGACGAUCGGUAGCUGGUCUGAGAGGAUGAUCAGCCACACUGGAACUGAGACACGGUCCAGACUCCUACGGAGGCAGCAGUGGGGAAUAUUGGACAAAUAGGCGGCAAGACCUG